CGUGCUAAUCUGCGAUAAGCGCCGGUAAGGUGAUAUGAACCGUUAUAACCGGCGAUACCCGAAUGGGGAAACCCAGUGUGACUCGUCACACUAUCAUUAACUGAAUCCAUAGGUUAAUGAGGCGAACCGGGGGAACUGAAACAUCUAAGUACCCCGAGGAAAAGAAAUCAACCGAGAUUCCCCCAGUAGCGGCGAGCGAACGGGGAGGAGCCCAGAGCCUGAAUCAGCAUGUGUGUUAGUGGAAGCGUCUGGAAAGGCGCGCGAUACAGGGUGACAGCCCCGUACACAAAAGCGCAUGUGCUGUGAGCUCGAUGAGUAGGGCGGGACACGUGGUAUCCUGUCUGAAUAUGGGGGGACCAUCCUCCAAGGCUAAAUACUCCUGACUGACCGAUAGUGAACCAGUACCGUGAGGGAAAGGCGAAAAGAACCCCGGCGAGGGGAGUGAAAAAGAACCUGAAACCGUGUACGUACAAGCAGUGGGAGCACAGGUUUACCUGUGUGACUGCGUACCUUUUGUAUAAUGGGUCAGCGACUUAUAUUCUGUAGCAAGGUUAACCGUAUAGGGGAGCCGGAGGGAAACCGAGUCUUAAUUGGGCGUUAAGUUGCAGGGUAUAGACCCGAAACCCGGUGAUCUAGCCAUGGGCAGGUUGAAGGUUGGGUAACACUAACUGGAGGACCGAACCGACUAAUGUUGAAAAAUUAGCGGAUGACCUGUGGCUGGGGGUGAAAGGCCAAUCAAACCGGGAGAUAGCUGGUUCUCCCCGAAAGCUAUUUAGGUAGCGCCUCGUGAAUUCAUCUCCGGGGGUAGAGCACUGUUUCGGCUAGGGGGCCAUCCCGGCUUACCAACCCGAUGCAAACUGCGAAUACCGGAGAAUGUUAUCACGGGAGACACACGGCGGGUGCUAACGUCCGUCGUGAAGAGGGAAACAACCCAGACCGCCAGCUAAGGUCCCAAAGUCAUGGUUAAGUGGGAAACGAUGUGGGAAGGCCCAGACAGCCAGGAUGUUGGCUUAGAAGCAGCCAUCAUUUAAAGAAAGCGUAAUAGCUCACUGGUCGAGUCGGCCUGCGCGGAAGAUGUAACGGGGCUAAACCAUG
rnacentral:rRNA from 1 species